UACAGAGGUCCCAAGCGUUGUUCGGAUUCACUGGGCGUAAAGGUGCGUAGGCGGUCGGGUAAGUCUGAUGUGAAAUCUCACAGCUUAACUGUGAAACUGCAUUGGAUACUAUUCGGCUUGAGAGUUGGAGGGGGACUGGAAUUCUUGGUGUAGCAGUGAAAUGCGUAGAUAUCAAGAGGAACACCAGUGGCGAAGGCGAGUCCCUGGACAACUUCUGACGCUGAGGCACGAAAGCUAGGGAGCAAACAGG
rnacentral:rRNA from 1 species